rnacentral:sRNA from 12 species
UUGACAGUCCAACCGCUACCUGCCUCGGUGAGAUACACCGAGUGGCUUCCUUGGAAGAGGGGAGGCGAGAUGCCAAGCGCACUCUUGAUGACGUAGCACGGAGGACAU